AGGUUCUUCUGUGACAUGUUUUCAUGGUGUGGGAAUAAGACUGGGUGGUCUAAUACAGCUAAUACGAAGGUUAGCAUCACAGCUUGUCUGUAAAGAUUGAAGCUGGGAGUGGGCAUUGGAGCUGACUUUUAUGGUAACUGUGGCUGCAUAAAAGGGCUAUGUGAUUUUACUGUAACAGUAAAGAAUGUAAUUCAGACUAUUUUUGUGUAUGUUUGAGAAAAUGUUUAUAAUUUUUACAAAAAGAAAAAAAUUAUGUACAGGUUCUCCAUUUUCAACAAGAUUGGAAGUUGUAGGUUAAUAGGUCUUUGAAAUUUCAAAAAUUACUUUCUAUUUUCUGUUCAUACUCAUGUCUAGGCAAAACACUUCCAGUAGUUUAAGAAUGGAGAAUCUAAAAAGAAAAGAAAAAAAGAAAAAGAAAAAAAUGUUCAAUUAUUGAAAUGUUUUUUAUUUUUGCAAAUUGUAAUAUAUUUUUUCACCUUUGUGUCAUUUUUAGCUGAGUUUAUAACAAAGGGUAUAUUAUUUUAAGAAUAUUUUACAAGAAGCAUAUAACAAAGAUGUGGAGUUCUAACAGGGUGAAAUUUAGGUCAAAGGGAGGUAAUUUAUUAUACUGUGUUUAACUUCAAAUACUUGAAAUUCCCUCAAUGUUAGAUUUUUAUUUACUUGGAUACUCACAUUUAUGCACUUUUUUACAUAUCAGAUGUUUUCUAGAUAAUAGAAAUUUAGAGUGGGAAAAAUUAUGUGUCACUUAAAAUAAUUACAUGAAAUUUUUCAAAAAGUUUAUUAAUUGAAAGUGCAUCUGACAUUUUUUAUGUAUGUUACUUUAUUUUCUAAAAACAAAUGGACACAACAUAGAUUGACAAUAAGAUAUUGAGAAGAACCACCUUGUCAGCCAGGAUAGAAGCUCUUAGGAAGAUGGUCAAUUAAAUCUUCAACCAAGUCUGACUCUUUACCAUGAAAAUAGAAAAGGCAAGUUUAUUUUAGCCAGAUCUUUUAAGAUAACAGAC